UAUUUUUAAGUAACGCAUUUAUUUUUCGAAUAUAAAAGAAGUCUUUUUACAACGACAAAAAGACACGUACUAGCUAAUUUUUAUUUUUGUUAUCAAUUACUUGAAAAUUGUCGUAAUAUUGAUACAGGUAAUGAAAUUUUUACAGAUAAUGGAAGAAACGGUUUGAAACUGAAUAUAUGCUAUACUAUGUAUAUAUAUAUACUUGAUAUACUAUUAGUAUAGUAUUGCUAUAUCAAGAACCAAGUUCUAACAAUUUCAAAGAUUUAGACAUCUCAUGUAGAAUCGAAUUUUUCAAUAGGAAAACCUGUUAAUGAUACAUAGAACAAUUAUCCUGGUAAUUCUUUGAAUUCAAUGUCUUUAUUCGACAAUAUUGUGCUAUUCUAUAAUGGGACCAGUACAUUAGUUAACCUUCUUGAAAUAUUGCCAUAUCAAGGUUUGGAACUUCCCAAAGAUGCAAGGAGAAUUUUAAAAAAACCUAAUGAAAAGCAACUUAUAGACAGAAGUGUCAACUACAUUAACUGUCAGUCGAUAUAUAUGUUUUGGUCAAAUACAUGUUUGUAUUUGGUCCUCCAAAAUUUGAAAAUUUGUGAUUCAAAAUUUUGC